AGCGCGGCGCGGGCGGCGGAGCGGCGGGAUGCGGCAGGGCCGGGCCGCAGGGCUGGCGGGGCUGGCCGCGGUGCUCCUGGUGGCUGCAGGCAGAGCCCAGGUGCAGCAGGAGCCGAGGACAGAGACCAGGGAUGGCACCGGCAUCAACAUCACCUGCUCACACCCCAACAUCCAGACUGGUGACUCCAUCCACUGGUACCGUCAGCUCCCAGGCCGAGGCCCCGCAUUCCUCGUGAGGGCUUCUAGUGGGUCCCAAGAUGUGACGGACCCGGCAGGGCGGCUAUCGGUGGCAGCAGACCGCCGGUCCAGCGCCCUGUGGCUCGCCCGGCCCCGGCUUCGGGACGCGGCGGUGUAUUACUGCGCCCUGAGAGCCACGGGGAGAGGAGCCGGGGCUGCGGCCGGGCAGGAACCGUGGCGGGCGGGGCCGGGAGUGUGUGGCGGGGGCGAGGCAGGGGCACAGCCCCCAGGGGGCGCUGCCGCUCCGCCCGCCGGGACCACGUCGCCCCGCAGCCCCGGGGGGCCCCCGCCAGCCCGGCCCCUCCAUGGCACUUCAGUUCUGCUGGAAGGGUCUGGAGCCUGGGUGCAGCUGAACGGAGAUGGCACCAGCCUGGCAGAGACGUGUCCAGGGAAGAGGCACUGAAACACAGCUCCUUUCUCCUGAGCCCUCCUUUUCCUCACGCUGCAACAAUCACCCUCUGGUACUGCCAACUUCAGGCCCCAACAAGGACCGUAUCAGGACAGUUUGGGUCCUUGGUUUAAUUCAGGGUAACAGUGUUUGGAGUGCCUCAGCGUGGCUGUCCAUCGACCACCUUGGGAUGUAUAGGAGAAGCAAACUGCUGUGAGGCUCCUGCUAGUGCCUGUCAGUGAGGGAUUUCCACCCCUGGACACUGCCAGGUCCUCCUGGGAGUCAGUGCUGGAGCCAGGCCCAUCUCCUCACA